CAGUGUAUUUGCAAUAAAUAGCUGUUUUUAAUUACUUAAUUUAAAGAGUAAUUUUUGAUUUUCAAAGUUGCCAACGAACUUUUUGUACUUCGAAGCAAAGAGUUUCUACAGGCAAGGUGAACGAAAAAAGUGCAACAGUGACAUAGCAGUGAUCCGGUUCCGUUUGACGAGUGCUUAGAACUCCUGCUACUCAAAGAUAUGGCCGGUCCUACGCCCAGUCCUUUAUUCCCAACUGGAAAACCUAUCGUCCUUCGUGGAUACGAGCCUGCUCGGCCCCCACCAGAACCCCAGCCCGAAGUACUGCAUUACUUCCUUGUGACCUGCCUACUUAGUAACUGCAAAAACCCCAAUCACCAUGUAUAUUAAGUACCGAGCUUCUGCUGGUCUCCAAGGAGCUACGCUGGAGUCCGGCUGGCAGAUCAGACAGCUGCAUCAACAGUAGCAGAGUACCGGUCGCUGAACGUAACACCCUGGUGCCCAGCUGUCGCCGGUUCCACUGGAUGCCGAACCCAACGUACUUUAGAAACAUUAAUUCUAAGAACUAAGCUUACCUACUUACGGCCGAUCUCAAUACUCGAUCUAUCUAUUUUAGCUUACACACUGCUUGACAGGUAUUUAACAUACUACUGAAGGACUAAUGUCUACAUUCUAUCUCCAGUAAGUAAGUCAACAGAUGGAUAAAAUAUUGGGAUCGACCGCAAGAAUGCUUGAUAAUCCUUUUUGUCUGAUAUGAUAUGGUUUUCUUCCAUGAAGUCGUCUUCACGAGAAAGCAUGCCUUGUCAUCGCAUUCUGCUUGAGCCCACCGCGCAAGAGAGGGUGUAAAACCAGCUAUGUAGAAGCAUAAGAAUCGGGUUUAGGCGUCUUGUUAACGAUAACGGAUGAUAGUUCGUUUUUUGUAAGGGCGACUGUUCAAUAAGUUAGUAUAGUAACUAUUAUAUAAUCUGUGGUAUAGGUGAUUGUGAACGCAACUUCUAUAUCUAUUGCUACGAAACUACGCGUCGAAGCCCAUCGCGUUAGCAAAUUCCUACAUUAAGCCGUUGUAUCAUCAUCAUCAUCAUCUCAGCCAUAGGACGUCCACUGCUGAACAUAGGCCUCCCCCUUAGAUCUCCACAGAUACCUGUUGGAGGCGACCUGCAUCCAGCGUCUUCCGGCGACCUUUAUAAGGUCGUCUGUCCACCUUGUAUACGCAAGACAAUUGAUAUUCUAGCAAAAUCAAAAAUCGGUUAUUCAAAGUUGGCUGAAAAACAGCACUUUUUCAGGUCAGAAUUACAUGAGACAGCUCCAAAAUCACUUCGUAUUAUUAUUAGCGACAUACCAGCAGUCAAUCUAUUGUUAUAAAAAUCGUUCCGUCACAUCGUCCGUUGUCGUCAACAAGAGGCCUCAGUGGUCUUAUUAUGACGUAUCUAUAUAUAUUCCACUUCAUGACGUUAGUAUGUAAGAUAUCUACCGUAGACCGUAAACGGACACAUUAAAAAAUCUUUGUCGAGUUCUCAAUACCUACCUGUGUAUGUAGGUUCAUGAUCAGUGAUAUGUCAGUAUUAAUAUUCUCAUUUAAUCAUAAUAAACUAACUUAUACCCUUUCAUUACCUAUAUAUCGAUAUAACAUGUGUAACUUAUAGUUCUAACAUUCUUAACCUAGAUCUGGUAAAAAUAGAUUGUAAGGUAUAACUCAGUUAUUCGCAAUUUAGUUUUAGUAGCUCUUAUUAACAGUUACAAGUAGACAUUUUAUUUUCACCAAUAGCAGCUUGAUCGUCAUGAUUUAGCAAUUUUCUGUGAAGAUAAAACCUAUUUAUAAAAUUCACUUCGUCUAAUAGAUCUGUGGUAAUUUGUCUUAUUGUUUACCCUUUUAUGAAUGCUCAAUAAAAUGAAAAUUCUGCCAUC
rnacentral:misc_RNA from 1 species